CCUUGCACACCUUAAAUGUCCUUGCACAAGUGUCUUCUUGCACACCCCAAAUGCCUUUGCACGCCCCUUGUGAAAGUGACUUGCCUUGCACACCUUAAAUGUCCUUGCACAAGUGUCCUCUUGCACACCCCCAAAGCCUUUGCACCAAACCACCCUGAAACUGCCCCAAAAUCGGACCCUCCCGCACCGCCGAUACCUCUCGGCGCCAAACCGUGAGCCCGCCCUCGUGCAAAACCCCUUGCACACUCAGCCUUGCACACACACAAGCCACCUUGCACACGCACAAUGUUGGCUUGCACACGCACAAGCCACCUUGCACACCCAGCAGCUCACUGCAGGCCCCGUGUGUGUUCUGAGCGGUGCGCCCCAAAAAUCCUUGCACAAGUG
rnacentral:lncRNA from 1 species